GGUGGAGUUUCUCUUUUGUUUCCCAAUCCAGUCAUCUGAUCUCAUCUCUAUUAGUCGUUGCGCAGUCCUGUUCACUACAGCAGGUUGGACAGGAAAAAUAGUUAAGUGAAAGGGAUAAGACAAAAUAAAUUCCAUUGCUCAUAGGUGCAAUAUCUAAGCCUACGAAAGAUUGACAGAAUUGUUUUACCUAGUAAUGAACUAGUGACUAUCUGCAGACCAUAUCCGACCCUCUGUUCUAGUUGUAACCAGCCGAAUGAAUUUGGACUUCAUCAAGUGGUAAACCGAUUUACAUGAUUGCAUUUACCUUGCAGUUUUAAGGAACUAUUUCAAGGAACUUUAGAUUCUUACCACUUGCUACAAGGGCUGAAAAGUUGCCCUGGGAAAAUGGAGGAUGAAGAUGGUUAUACAAACAUAGACCCAAGAAGACGGGAAACAUACACAAAACCCCAUCCAGACGCUAAGAAAAAAGAUGCUUUAUUCAAUCUUCUCUGGUGGAAAAUUGGUUUCAGUAUUUCGCUGACAAUAAUUGUCAUUCUAACUGUGGUCUUGAUUGUUAUCGGUGUUCUAGCUCCGGAGGGCUCUUCUGGGACAGCAUUCUUGCCGUAUCCAGUAAUUUUCCCCACAAAUUUCCAUGACUCAGAAAAUAACAAUAUGAUGGACCAUCUCAGUAAACUCCCCCGAAAAAACUCAUGCACAUCAAAUGGCUCCUCGUGUUUGUCUACUCCUUCUGAAAUCUGCAUCUACACACCAAGAAAUCACAUUACUGCAACAAUCAAUCAAGUGGCAGUCCUUCCUGUUGAAAUUGAUGCAACAAAGUCUAAUUGGGACUUCAUUGAAGUCCACUGGCAUCAGACCAAAGGAGCCAAUAAUGAUUUCAUUCUCAAAUAUGACCUGAGAUUAUGCAGUAAAAUCAAGCCUGGGCAAAAUUGGUGGGAGAGUCAUUGCCACCAAUUUUUGGAAGUGUUGCCAGCACAUCGGUGGAAGUUUUCAGUUAUGAGGAAUGCCUGGUUGAUCAUCUGGAAUGUACAACAAAAUGAUGCUGGGAGAUAUCAAGUCACAGUGAAAUCCAACAACAUGAAAGAUGCAUGCAGUUUUAUGGAACUUUCAGUGACCACAGCUGCAAGGAUAAGCCUGGCCCAACUAUGGAAAUCACAAGAAAUAACUACUACCGAAAAACGGAUCUUGAAAGUGUUUGGUAUCAUGAAUGUGACGCAAAAACUGGCACAGAACAUAUCACAAUCACAAAGAAUGGAUUGGAACAAAUUUAUAGACUUUUUGGAGAAAGAAAAAAUGGAAGUUAAUUGAAAAUUUGACUAAAAACUCAAGGACCAAUUCAAAAGAAUCAAUGCAACAAACAAACAAAAAAGUGGAUUUAAGAAGGAAUUGCACACAACUUGGAGUGAAUAAUAGAAUUCUUUUUUUCCUUUCCUUUCCUUUCCUUUUUCUCUUCUCUGUCUCUUCAUUCCUACUUUCUCAAAUCUAAUUAUUCCCCCACUUUUAUUGUAAAAAGACAGAAGACUAUCUGUUUCUUUCAUUUUAUCUUUUUAUUCUCAAUAAAAAUGAUUAAUGCAGAUGGUUUUCCUC
rnacentral:lncRNA from 11 species